rnacentral:rRNA from 1 species
GAUGAACGCUGGCGGCGUGCCUAAUACAUGCAAGUCGAGCGAACGGACGAGAAGCUUGCUUCUCUGAUGUUAGCGGCGGACGGGUGAGUAACACGUGGAUAACCUACCUAUAAGACUGGGAUAACUUCGGGAAACCGGAGCUAAUACCGGAUAAUAUUUUGAACCGCAUGGUUCAAAAGUGAAAGACGGUCUUGCUGUCACUUAUAGAUGGAUCCGCGCUGCAUUAGCUAGUUGGUAAGGUAACGGCUUACCAAGGCAACGAUGCAUAGCCGACCUGAGAGGGUGAUCGGCCACACUGGAACUGAGACACGGUCCAGACUCCGACGGGAGGCAGCAGUAGGGAAUCUUCCGCAAGGGGCGAAAGCCUGACGGAGCAACGCCGCGUGAGUGAUGAAGGUCUUCGGAUCUUAAAACUCUGUUAUUAGGGAAGAACAUAUGUGUAAGUAACUGUGCACAUCUGGACGGUACCUAAUCAGAAAGCCACGGCUAACUACGUG